rnacentral:misc_RNA from 1 species
GAUGAAGAACGCAGCGAAAUGCGAUAAGUAAUGCGAAUUGCAGAAUUCAGUGAGUCAUCGAAUCUUUGAACGCACAUUGCGCCCUGUGGUAUUCCGCAGGGCAUGCCUGUUCGAGCGUCAUUUCAACCCUCAAGCCCCGCUUGGUGUUGGGCCCCGCCCGCUGUGGCCGGCCCUAAAGACAGUGGCGGCGCCGCCUGGCCCUCAGCGUAGUACAUCUCUCGCUCCAGGGUCCGGUGGCCGCCUGCCAGAACCCCCCAACUCUGUGGUUGAUCUCGGAUCAGGUAGGGAUACCCGCUGAACUUAAGCAUAUCAAUAAGCGGAGGA